rnacentral:rRNA from 1 species
CAUGUCUUUUUGAAAAUAAUAAAAAGUCUAAUCUGCCCACUGAAUUUAUUUAAAGGGCUGCAGUAUAUUGACUGUACAAAGGUAGCAUAAUCAAUAGUCUUUUAAUUGAAGACUUGUAUGAAUGAUUUGAUGAAAUAUGAACUGUCUCUUUUUUAAAAAUAAAAUUUAAUUUUUUAGUUAAAAAGCUAAAAUAAUUAUAAAAGACGAGAAGACCCUAUAGAGUUUUAUAGUUAUUUAAUUUAAAAAUUUUAUAUAUAAUUUAAAUUUAAAAUUAAUUAAUUAUUUUAUUGGGGUGAUAGAAAAAUUAAAAAAACUUUUUUUAAAAAUUUAACAUUAAUUUAUGAAAUUAUGAUCCAUAAUUUAUGAUUAAAAGAAUCAAUUACCUUAGGGAUAACAGCGUAAUUUUUUUUUUUAGUACAAAUAAGAAAAAGAGUUUGCGACCUCGAUGUUGGAUUAAGAUAAAAUUUAAAUGCAAAAGUUUAAAAUUUUUGAUCUGUUCGAUCAUUAAAAUCUUACAUGAUC